AGUGAACGCUGGCGGCAUGCCUAAUACAUGCAAGUCGAACGGCCACACAGUAAGCUUUUGCUCCUACGGUUGGCGACUGGCGGACGGGUAAGGAAUACAUCAGCAUCUACUAUUUCGUGGGUGACUACGUAAGGCCACUUAUGCUACCACCUAAUAUGAUCUACGGGAUAAAUCAAUGGUUCAUCAGACCUUUCCCGAUACAUUUAGCCGGUGUCGGAUUAGCUAGUUGGCUGGGUAAAGUACCACAAAGGCGACGAGCCGUAGCGGCUCUGAGAGGAUGAUCAGCAAAACUGGAACUGAGACACGGUCAAGACUCCUACGGGAGGCAGAAGUGGGGAAUAUUGGACAAUGGGCGCAAGCCUACGGCAGCCAGACCGCGUAGGUGAAGAAGGCCUGCGAGUUGUAAAGCCCUUUUGUAGGGAAAGAAAAGCAGGAAAGUAAUUAUGCGCUGUUCUGACGGUACUCAAAGGAUAAGCACCGGCUAACUUCGU
rnacentral:rRNA from 1 species